CGGCGAGUGUCCGCAAGCCUUGCGCGCCCGGCAGGAGGUCCCGCCGAGCGCGCGAGGCUUGGGGCAGCAGCCUGUUGCCCGAAGCACGGGAGCCCUCCGGAGGGCUCCCGUGCUUCGGGCGAGUGUCUGCAAGCCUUGCGCGCCCGGCAGGAGGUCCCGCCCGGCGCGCAAGGCUUGGGCGGCAGCCUGUCGCCCGAAGCACGGGAGCCCUCCGGAGGGCUCCCGUGCUCGGGCGAGUGUCCGCAAGCCUUGCGCGCCCGGCAGGAGGUCCCGCCCGGCGCGCAAGGCUUGGGGCUGCAGCUGUCGCCCGAAGCACGGGGAGCCCUCCGGAGGGCUCCCCGUGCUUCGGGCGAGUGUCCGCAAGCCUUGCGCGCCCGGCAGGAGGUCCCGCCCGGCGCGCAAGGCUUGGGGCUGCAGCUUGUCGCCCGAGCACGGGGAGCCCUCCGGAGGGCUCCCGUGCUUCGGGCGAGUGUCCGCAAGCCUUGCGCGCCCGGCAGGAGGUCCCGCCCGGCGCGCAAGGCUUGGGCGGCAGCCUGUCGCCCGAAGCACGGGAGCCCUCCGGAGGGCUCCCGUGCUUCGGGCGAGUGUCCGCAAGCCUUGCGCGCCCGGCAGGAGGUCCCGCCCGGCGCGCAAGGCUUGGGGCUGCAGCUGUCGCCCGAGCACGGGGAGCCCUCCGGAGGGCUCCCGUGCUUCGGGCGAGUGUCCGCAAGCCUUGCGCGCCGGGCAGGAGGUCCCGCCCGGCGCGCAAGGCUGGGGCUGCAGCUUGUCGCCCGAAGCACGGGGAGCCCUCCGGAGGGCUCCCUUGCUUCGGGCGAGUGUCCGCAGCCUUGCGCGCCCGGCAGGAGGUCCCGCCCGGCGCGCAAGGCUUGGGGCUGCAGCUUGUCGCCCGAAGCACGGGAGCCCUCCGGAGGGCUCCCUUGCUUCGGGCGAGUGUCUGCAAGCCUUGCGCGCCCGGCAGGAGGUCCCGCCCGGCGCGCAAGGCUUGGGGCUGCAGCAUGUCGCCCGAAGCACGGGGAGCCCUCCGGAGGGCUCCCCGUGCUUCGGGCGAGUGUCUGCAAGCCUCGCGCGCCCUGUGGGAGGUCCCGCCGAGCGCGCGAGGCUUGGGGAGGUAGCCUGCCGCCCGAAGCACGCGAGGCUUGGGGCGGCAGCCGCGGGGGGGGGGGAUAAUUUUUUUUAUUCAUUUCCCCCCCCAAAAAACGAGGUGCGUCCUAUGGACCGGUGCGUCCUAUAGAACGAAAAAUACGGUAAAUC